rnacentral:rRNA from 1 species
ACUCAAAUGAAUAGACGGGGGCCCGCACAAGCGGUGGAUUAUGUGGUUUAAUUCGAAGCAACGCGCAGAACCUUACCUAGGCUUGAAAUCCCACGAAUCCCUUUUAAACGAGGGAGUGCUCUUCGGAGAAUGUGGUGACAGGCGCUGCAUGGCUGUCGUCAGCUCGUGUCGUGAGAUGUUGGGUUAAGUCUCGCAACGAGCGCAACCCCUAUCCUUAGUUGCCAGCAUUAAGUUGGGCACUCUAGGGAGACUGCCUGGGCUAACCAGGAGGAAGGUGGGGAUGACGUCAAGUCCUCAUGGCCCUUAUGUCUAGGGCUACACACGUAAUACAAUGGUCGGUACAGAGGGAUGCGAACUCGCGAGGGGGAGCAAAUCUCAAAAAACCGAUCUCAGUCCGGAUUGGAGUCUGCAACUCGACUCCAUGAAGUUGGAAUCGCUAGUAAUCGCGGAUCAGCACGCCGCGGUGAAUACGUUCCCGGGCCUUGUACACACCGCCCGU